rnacentral:rRNA from 1 species
UACGGAGGAUCCAAGCGUUAUCCGGAAUCAUUGGGUUUAAAGGGUGCGUAGGUGGGCAGGUAAGUCAGUGGUGAAAUCUCCGAGCUUAACUCGGAAACUGCCAUUGAUACUAUCUGUCUUGAAUAUCCUGGAGGUAAGCGGAAUAUGUCAUGUAGCGGUGAAAUGCUUAGAUAUGACAUAGAACACCAAUUGCGAAGGCAGCUUACUACGGGAUUAUUGACACUGAGGCACGAAAGGCGUGGGGAUCAAACAGG